CCAUCCUGUGAUGUAAUACUCA
rnacentral:siRNA from 1 species